rnacentral:rRNA from 1 species
CAAUAGCGUAUGUUUAAGUUGUUGCAGUUAAAAAGCUCGUAGUUGGAUUUCGGAUGGGAUUUGCCGGUCCGUCGUUACGAUGUGCACUGGCCAGUCCUAUCUUGUUGUCGGGGACUAGCUCCUUGGAUUCACUUCCUGGGACUAGGAGCUGACGAGGUUACUUUGAGUAAAUUAGAGUGUUCAAAGCAAGCCUACGCUCUGAAUACAUUAGCAUGGAAUAACGCGAUAGGACUCUGGCUUAUCUUGUUGGUCUGUGAGACCAGAGUAAUGAUUAAGAGGGACAGUCGGGGACAUUCGUAUUUCAUUGUCAGAGGUGAAAUUCUUGGAUUUAUGAAAGACGAACUUCUGCGAAAGCAUUUGUCAAGGAUGUUUUCAUUAA